AGUGAACGCUGGCGGUAGGCCUAACACAUGCAAGUCGAACGGCAGCACAGUAAGAGCUUGCUCUUACGGGUGGCGGGUGGCGGACGGGUGAGGAAUACAUCGGAAUCUACUUUUUCGUGGGGGAUAACGUAGGGAAACUUACGCUAAUACCGCAUACGACCUACGGGUGAAAGCAGGGGAUCUUCGGACCUUGCGCGAUUGAAUGAGCCGAUGUCGGAUUAGCUAGUUGGCGGGGUAAAGGCCCACCAAGGCGACGAUCCGUAGCUGGUCUGAGAGGAUGAUCAGCCACACUGGAACUGAGACACGGUCCAGACUCCUACGGGAGGCAGCAGUGGGGAAUAUUGGACAAAGGGCGCAAGCCUGAUCCAGCCAUACCGCGUGGGUGAAGAAGGCCUUCGGGUUGUAAAGCCCUUUUGUUGGGAAAGAAAAGCAGCAGGUUAAUACCCCGCUGUUCUGACGGUACCCAAAGAAUAAGCACCGGCUAACUUCGUG
rnacentral:rRNA from 1 species